UCGACGGAGUUAUCAUUUCAGAAGCAAUUAGCUUGCUAAGAGUGGAAUAGAGGAUAACUUAGUGGCGGACGGGUGAGUAACGCGUGGGGAACCUGCCCUGCACCGGGGGAUAACACCUGGAAACAGGUGCUAAUACCGCAUAAGCGCACGAGGCCGCAUGGCCAGGUGUGAAAAACUAAGGUGGUGCAGGAUGGACCCGCGUCUGAUUAGCUUGUUGGUAGGGUAACGGCCUACCAAGGCGACGAUCAGUAGCCGGCCUGAGAGGGUGAACGGCCACAUUGGGACUGAGACACGGCCCAAACUCCUACGGGAGGCAGCAGUGGGGAAUAUUGGACAAUGGGGGAAACCCUGAUCCAGCGACGCCGCGUGAGUGAAGAAGUAUUUCGGUAUGUAAAGCUCUAUCAGCAGGGAAGAAAAUGACGGUACCUGACUAAGAAGCCCCGGCUAACUACGUGCCAGCAGCCGCGGUAAUACGUAGGGGGCAAGCGUUAUCCGGAUUUACUGGGUGUAAAGGGAGCGUAGACGGCAUAGCAAGUCUGAUCUGAAAGAUCGGGGCUCAACCCCGGGCCUGCAUUGGAAACUGUUAAGCUGGAGUACAGGAGAGGUAAGCGGAAUUCCUAGUGUAGCGGUGAAAUGCGUAGAUAUUAGGAGGAACACCAGUGGCGAAGGCGGCUUACUGGACUGUAACUGACGUUGAGGCUCGAAAGCGUGNGGAGCAAACAGGAUUAGAUANCCUGGUAGUCCACGCCGU
rnacentral:rRNA from 1 species